CGGGUUUGGGUGGAUAAUAAU
rnacentral:siRNA from 1 species